rnacentral:rRNA from 1 species
AGAUUAAGUUAUUAAGGGCGCACGGUGGAUGCCUUGGCACUAGAAGCCGACGAAGGACGUUACUAACGACGAUAUGCUUUGGGGAGCUGUAAGUAAGCUUUGAUCCAGAGAUUUCCGAAUGGGGAAACCCAGCACGAGUUAUGUCGUGUUAUCGAUAUGUGAAUACAUAGCAUAUCUGAAGGCAGACGCGGAGAACUGAAACAUCUUAGUACCCGCAGGAAGAGAAAGAAAAAUCGAUUCCCUGAGUAGCGGCGAGCGAAACGGGAAGAGCCCAAACCAACGAGCUUGCUUGUUGGGGUUGUAGGACACUCUAUACGGAGUUACAAAAGAACAGACUAGACGAAUCAUCUGGAAAGAUGAAUCAAAGAAGGUAAUAAUCCUGUAGUCGAAAGUUUGUUCACUCUUGAGUGGAUCCUGAGUACGACGGAACACGAGAAAUUCCGUCGGAAUCUGGGAGGACCAUCUCCCAAGGCUAAAUACUCUCUAGUGACCGAUAGUGAACCAGUACCGUGAGGGAAAGGUGAAAAGUACCCCGGAAGGGGAGUGAAAUAGAACUUGAAACCGUGUGCUUACAAGUAGUCAGAGCCCGUUAAUGGGUGAUGGCGUGCCUUUUGUAGAAUGAACCGGCGAGUUACGAUUUGAUGCAAGGUUAAGCAGUGAAUGUGGAGCCGUAGCGAAAGCGAGUCUGAAUAGGGCGUUGAGUAUUUGGUCGUAGACCCGAAACCAGGUGAUCUACC